CACAUGUGUAAACGGAAGUGAAGUAACGUAACAAAUGUACUGAUUGUGACCCAAAACCACAAUCUUUUUUCAAAACU